rnacentral:rRNA from 1 species
AUUGAACGCUGGCGGAAUGCUUUACACAUGCAAGUCGAACGGCAGCACGGACUUCGGUCUGGUGGCGAGUGGCGAACGGGUGAGUAAUGUAUCGGAACGUGCCCAGUCGUGGGGGAUAACGUAGUGAAAAUUACGCUAAUACCGCAUACGAUCUAUGGAUGAAAGCGGGGGAUCGCAAGACCUCGCGCGAUUGGGGCGGCCGAUAUCAGAUUAGGAAGUUGGUGGGGUAAAGGCCCACCAAGCCAACGAUCUGUAGCUGGUCUGAGAGGACGACCAGCCACACUGGAACUGAGACACGGUCCAGACUCCUACGGGAGGCAGCAGUGGGGAAUUUUGGACAAUGGGCGAAAGCCUGAUCCAGCCAUCCCGCGUGCAGGAUGAAGGCCCUCGGGUUGUAAACUGCUUUUGUACAGAACGAAAAGGUUUCUACUAAUACUAGGAGCUCAUGACGGUACUGUAAGAAUAAGCACCGGCUAACUACGUGCCAGCCGCCGCCGUAA